UUUCACAUUAGUGGAACUCAAAGAAACAUCUUUUUUUUUUUUUUCUGUACUUUUUGAACAAAUCUAUCAAAAAACUCAUGUAACUUCAAAUGUAAAUAUUCAGUUUUUGUGUUAAUUAGUUAAAGACUUCAAGUUCUUGUGAGUAAAGAAUAGAGUAGAGGUAGUUUUGUGACACCUGCAAAGAAAGAGAAUGUGGAGCAUUGAUCAUUGUUCAAUCACAUGUUGUAAUUGCAGCAGGUGAAAGAUAGGUUUUUUUUUUUUAUUUGUUUAUAUAUUUUUUUUGAGUUGAAUCGACUGUCAAUUAGAGUGCAUAUGCAUAAAUCAAAUGAGAAAUAUAGGGAAAUAUUUAUAGACAAAGGUGGUGGAGAAAGUGAGGACUCUCCCAAUAAAGAUACAUACCAGUUUCCGAAGGGGAUGAAUAAGCCUACCCAUCCACCAAUUGAGGCCCAUUUCCUCCUUCCUCCUCAAGGAGAGAGACCAGUUUCUUCAACAAGUUCAUCAGGCCUUAAGUCCGUGCUAUCAUAUCCACUCAAGGUUCGUGAUUCGUUGAAAAGACUUGGAAAGAGCAAAAGCAUGGAACUAAUUCUUGAAGGAACUCAUGAUCCAAAAGAUGAACAAAUUGUUCAGACUUUCCGGGAAUUACUUUUCCUUGAGGAUCAGUUACCGGUAAAGCACAAUGACUAUCAUACACUUUUACGGUUUCUAAGAAUGAGAGACUUUGAUCCGUCAAAAGCAAAAGAAAUGUUUCUGAAUUAUCUUCAGUGGCGCAAGGACUAUAGAGUUGAUGCAAUCCAAAAGGAGUUUAAGUUUGUUGAGCUUGCAGAGGUGAAGAAAUGCUAUCCUCAUGGAUUUCAUAGUGUAGAUCGAAGUGGUAGACCAGUAUACAUUGAAAGGGUUGGGAUGGUAGAUCUGAAUGCGUUACUACAAGUAACUAGCACAGACAGAUUUGUUAAGUAUCAUGUAUCAGAACAAGAGAAAACAUUAAAUUUGAGAUUUCCAGCAUGCUCAAUUGCAGCCAAGAGGCAUAUAGCAUCCACCACAAGUAUCUUAGAUGUGAAGGGAGUUGGAAUGUCUAAUUUCUCAAAGCCUGCACGAUAUCUCUUCAUGGAAAUUCAGAAGAUUGAUAGCAAUUACUACCCAGAGACUCUGAAUCGACUCUUCAUUAUCAAUGCUGGAUCUGGGUUCCGGGUGCUGUGGAAGGUACUCAAGGCCUUUAUGGAUGCAAGAACCUUGGCAAAAAUUCAUGUGCUGGGAUCUAACUAUCUUGGUAACCUAAUUGAAGUUAUUGAUCCUAGUAAUUUGCCGGCAUUUCUGGGUGGAAACUGUACAUGUGCUGACUAUGGAGGUUGCUUGUUAAGUGAUAAAGGACCAUGGAAUAAUCCAGAAAUUACAGAGAUGCUGCAGGCAAUUUCUGCAACAGAAGAGGCCAAUAAUGAAGGAAACAGUGACCUAGCUUCAGGAGAUGCUUUGUUGCAUGAUGUGGAUUAUGGUGAAAAAAAAGAAGACUUGAAAUAUGGGGAAAGGGCAAUGAGUGAUAGGCUUGCACCUCAAAAAAUCAUAGCACUUGAAGCUGCACUUGCAGACACCAAUAAAAAAAUUGAUGCAUUGGAAGUGGCACUUGAGGACACCAAGAUGGUCCUGAAAGGGCUUGCACAGCAUAUUAAAGAUCUGAGGGUUUGAACUUGCUGACAAAAUUGAUGUUUAAAGAAUAAAGGUACAUGAUAAAGGUUCAUGUGCUCUCCAACAAAUUUGGUUGCCAGAAAGCAUGUUCCACUCUCUCUAUUGGCAAUUAAAUGUGCCCUGGAAGCAGAUGAUAUGCAUUUCAACUUGAGAAGCAAACUAUCAUUUUAGAGGUUCUCUUUUGUGUUCAGACUAACCUGGUGGUUCUUCCCUUGGUGCUUCAGUUCUUGAGCACUGGUCAAGUGGGACCUCAAGGCCACCAUAUAUGAUCUAUACUGGUUGAUUAUGAGAACAUAUAACUGUAUCAAUGUGGUCUGGAACUCUGGAUCCAAAGCUACAAAACUCAUUGUGCACAUUUCAAACUCUGUGCAACUGUUUCUUUAGAACGCCAUUGUUUUGAUUGUUGAACUUAAGAGCUGUGGUGCAAUAGUAACUGCCAGGAAGGUAAACAUGUCUCUUGUUUCAUAAGUCAUGAAGCAGAUUACAUUUUCCUUUUCAAAUUCUCCCCAUUUUCAGGGCCAUUACAAUGUCAUUAUCCUGC